rnacentral:misc_RNA from 1 species
AACGCAUAUUGCGCUCUUUGGUAUUCCGAAGAGCAUGCCUGUUUGAGUAUCUACUAAUUCUCAACUCCUUGUGAUGUUUGGAACUGAGUCAUGUCUGUUAGACUGGCUUGAAAUGUAGUGCGGAAAGGGUGAUAUUAAUAUCGCUGAAGGAACAGUAAUUGAAUGAGUGAUACUCAGCAUUUUCUUAGUACUUGAGUGAUAUUGAAGAGCCAUACCUUUGGGUGCUUUCAGCAAACAACCAAUAGAGCUUUUGCUCUGAACCUUGGUCUCAAAUCAGGUAGGAAGACCCGCUGAACUUAA